rnacentral:rRNA from 1 species
GAUGAACGCUGGCGGCGUGCCUAAUACAUGCAAGUCGAGCGAACAGACGAGGAGCUUGCUCCUCUGACGUUAGCGGCGGACGGGUGAGUAACACGUGGAUAACCUACCUAUAAGACUGGGAUAACUUCGGGAAACCGGAGCUAAUACCGGAUAAUAUAUUGAACCGCAUGGUUCAAUAGUGAAAGACGGUUUUGCUGUCACUUAUAGAUGGAUCCGCGCCGCAUUAGCUAGUGGGUAAGGUAACGGCUUACCAAGGCAACGAUGCGUAGCCGACCUGAGAGGGUGAUCGGCCACACUGGAACUGAGACACGGUCCAGACUCCUACGGGAGGCAGCAGUAGGGAAUCUUCCGCAAUGGGCGAAAGCCUGACGGAGCAACGCCGCGUGAGUGAUGAAGGUCUUCGGAUCGUAAAACUCUGUUAUUAGGGAAGAACAAAUGUGUAAGUAACUAUGCACGUCUUGACGGUACCUAAGCAGAAAGCCACGGCUAACUACGU